UUGCAUGUUGGUAUUCCACUCCAGGGCUA
rnacentral:piRNA from 1 species